AUUGAACGCUGGCGGCAGGCCUAACACAUGCAAGUCGAGCGUGCGGCGGACGGGGGAGUAAUGUAUGGGGACUGCUCGAUAGCGGGGGAUAACAACUGGAAACGGUUGCUAAUACUGCAUACUAUCGGAUAACACAUAUGGGAUUAGCUAGUAGGUGAGGUAAUGGCUCACCUAGGCGACGAUCCCUAGCUGGACUGAGAGGAUGAUCAGCCACACUGGGACUGAGACACGGCCCAGACUCCUACGGAGGCAGCAGUGGGGAAUAUUGGACAAUGGGCGAAAGCCUGAUACAGCCAUGCCGCGGGUAUGAAGAAGGCCCUAGGGUUGUAAAAUUCUUUCAGUCGGGAGGCGGUACCGACAGAGAAAGCAACGGCUAACUCCGUGCCAGCAGCCGCGGUAAUUC
rnacentral:rRNA from 1 species